rnacentral:rRNA from 1 species
UACAGAGGUGGCAAGCGUUGUCCGGAUUUAUUGGGCGUAAAGAGCGUGUAGGCGGCCAGACAGGUCAGCUGUGAAAACUCGAGGCUCAACCUCGAGACGUCGGUUGAAACCGUCUGGCUAGAGUCCGGAAGAGGAGAGUGGAAUUCCCGGUGUAGCGGUGAAAUGCGCAGAUAUCGGGAAGAACACCCGUGGCGAAGGCGGCUCUCUGGGACGGUACUGACGCUGAGACGCGAAAGCGUGGGGAGCGAACAGG